UGGGGAAUUUUGGACAAUGGGCGCAAGCCUGAUCCAGCUAUUCCGCGUGUGGGAUGAAGGCCCUCGGGUUGUAAACCACUUUUGUAGAGAACGAAAAGACACCUUUUAAUAAAGGGUGUUGCUGACGGUACUCUAAGAAUAAGCACCGGCUAACUACGUGCCAGCAGCCGCGGUAAUACGUAGGGUGCGAGCGUUAAUCGGAAUUACUGGGCGUAAAGGGUGCGCAGGCGGUUGAGUAAGACAGGUGUGAAAUCCCCGAGCUUAACUCGGGAAUGGCAUAUGUGACUGCUCGACUAGAGUGUGUCAGAGGGAGGUGGAAUUCCACGUGUAGCAGUGAAAUGCGUAGAUAUCACGCAGAACUCCGAUUGCGAAGGCAGCGUACCGGCGCCCAACUGACGCUGAAGCACGAAGGCGUGGGUAUCGAACAGGAUUAGAUACCC
rnacentral:rRNA from 1 species